CCCCUUGUGACCCCAAGAUGGCUGCCGGAAGUCCCGGGACGACACGCUUCCAGCAGGCCCCCCUGUGAUGCUGCUGUCGCUGCUCUGAAACCACACACCCUGGACAACCAAAGGGACACACGGGAUUUCAAGGUAUCCUCUGAAGAAAGGGAACGGACCAAAUGAUCCCGAAAGCCAACCAGCUGCCAAGGAUCAGAAGAAGGCCCUUCCCAGCUUCCUGCCUGUG